UACGGAGGGUGCAAGCGUUGUUCGGAUUUACUGGGCGUAAAGGGCGCGUAGGCGGUCUUAUAAGCCAUAUGUGAAAGCCCACGGCUCAACCGUGGAAGUGCAUGUGGAACUGUGAGACUUGAGUAUGGGAGAGGAAAGUGGAAUUCCCGGUGUAGAGGUGAAAUUCGUAGAUAUCGGGAGGAAUACCGGUGGCGAAGGCGACUUUCUGGACCAAUACUGACGCUGAGGCGCGAAAGCGUGGGUAGCAAACAGG
rnacentral:rRNA from 1 species